UCCGGGUCUCCUGGUCAAAGAAUCUGCUCGGCCGCCUCCAGGUCGGAGGAGGUCUGCUCGGAUGCUUCCAGGUCGGAGAGGCUACUCGGGCGCCUCCGGAUCUCCUGGUCAAAGGAUCUGCUCGGCCGCCUCCAGGUCGGAGGAGGUCUGCUCGGCCGUUCAUGCGAGCGUGACUUAUAUUGCCCCCCCCCCAAACCAAAACCCAUAACUUCAAAAAGCAUUCUCAAGUAACUACUCAUCUCCAUUGCAAAUUGUAACCCAAAGAGCGCAAGAUCAUAACCUUCUUGUCUAGAUUGGGAACUUUUAAGCAUCGAACUGUCACCACCACCAAGAAAGCAACCAAAAUCUCCAAGAAUCCCGAACCGAUGGACAGAGAGAGGGGAAAGAGAAAUCUAACCGGAUUCUGGCGAGUUUCUUGCUGCGCUCGGCCUCGGCGGCCGCCUCUUCAUUGAGGGCCUUCCCCCGAUCGCGCGAGACAACGCUCGCGAGCACCUUGGAGUUGUUCUUGAGUCCCAAUUGGGAGAGGGGACGGACCUCCUCGCCGUCCUUGAGCACUUUUCCGCCGCAGAUCAGGUUGAUGCAGUCGGGAGAGCCGCCCGAUCGCCGCGCCACCUCGGCGCGGAGCAUCGCGAGCGUCCACGCCUCCAGCUCGACCUCCAGGACCCCCGACCACGCCCCGGCGAUCCUCAGCCUCGCCACCGCGGCGGACGGAGAACCCGGGGACUUCUUGGCGUCCAUGGGAAUGGAAUUCCAGGCGGUCUUGAGCGAUUACUUGGUGGCGAAGGUUGAGGAGACGGCAAUGGAGGUGGUGGCGGUUUCCACGAGACUUUAUUGAUGGCCCUUUUGGAUGAAUUCGAGCCUGACUGACUUUAAGCCAUUUAUACUUUUUGG
rnacentral:lncRNA from 1 species